UUAUUUACACAAUACAAAAUAAAAUAUUUUAAUAAUAUAUAUGAUUAAAAAAAAAUUUGCAAUACCAAUGGUGUAUCAUCAAGGAGAAGAUGAAUAUAUUAUAUUUUAUCAAUAUUCCACAAGUAUACAUUCUGCUACGAGGGACUAAAGAUUACAGAUACUACAAUAUAUUCCACAAAAAUAUAUAGGGUGAUUCGCCAAGCAUGUUCAGUGCUCACGCUCAUUUUUCCCUUUAUAAUGAAUUCCAUUGAAAUCCAUCAGAGGAUCCGUACGUGUAUUGUAAGGUUCCGAAGUGAAGGCGUCCGAAAGUAAGGCGAAGCGACUUUGGGUCGAGUAAAGGUACGUGAAAGUGCACUUUUAAGGUUGCCAACACAUGUUCUCCAGCCACCAUCGGCGGCGAGACGGGAUAGCGGGCGUCGCGCGCUCGAGGACGUUUAAACGCGAGACCCUCUGUAGGCGCGGCGGACGCCCGGCUGUUUCGGUGGCGAGCAACGACGAUACGACGACGGCGGCUAGCGGUACCAUCGCGGGCAACGACACCGCCCUGCGACACUUGCAAUGAUGAUUGCAGUGCUGAACGAAGACGACUAGUGGCGGUGGCCGCGGCGAGGACCGCAGAGCUCACGGGGGCGGGUGAUAGAAGUCUAAAUAAUUAAAGGCCGUUUCAGGGUUCGGCGGUGCGCGACUCCGUGGCAGGUCAUCGGUUGCGGCAGACACAGUGCCGGCGGAACGCCAGGGCGAAAUUACUGGAAGUAUCAGGACGGCGGUGCGCCGCGGUGCUGUCGGCAGAUUCUCUCCCAGUUUCGCCUAGUGGUGUCAUCCCAAGAUCUAUAGAUUGUUAUUAUUCCUUAUAGAGCUUGCUUGGGUCACCGUUCGUCUCCGGCACAACAGUCAACGUCUUCACCAGUGGCGU